AUAACAAUACAUGACUCUUUCCAGGCCCCGUAAUUGGAAUGAGUACACUUUAAAUCCUUUAACGAGGAUCUAGUGAAGGGCAAGUCUGACCCGUGCGUGCUGCAGCUGAAACUCCAC